AUGAAAAGUCUUUUUUUAUUAGUUAAACAUGAAAUAGAUAACAAGAAGAGGAAAUCAUUAUCGAAAAAACUGCCGCGGACCUUCACUCAAACGCUCUGCGAUCUCCACCGCACACCUUCAUCCAUGUCCAGAUCGAACCACCGUGUAAGUCAUCUCCCUAUGCCCAGAACCAUCGAGGUCGCGCUCACACAUAAAUCGACCACCUAA